AGUGAACGCUGGCGGUAGGCCUAACACAUGCAAGUCGAACGGCAGCGCAGUAAGAGCUUGCUCUUACGGGUGGCGAGUGGCGGACGGGUGAGGAAUACAUCGGAAUCUACUUUUUCGUGGGGGAUAACGUAGGGAAACUUACGCUAAUACCGCAUACGACCUACGGGUGAAAGCAGGGGAUCUUCGGACCUUGCGCGAUUGAAUGAGCCGAUGUCGGAUUAGCUAGUUGGCGGGGUAAAGGCCCACCAAGGCGACGAUCCGUAGCUGGUCUGAGAGGAUGAUCAGCCACACUGGAACUGAGACACGGUCCAGACUCCUACGGGAGGCAGCAGUGGGGAAUAUUGGACAAUGGGCGCAAGCCUGAUCCAGCCAUACCGUGUGGGUGAAGAAGGCCCUCGGGUUGUAAAGCCCUUUUGUUGGGAAAGAAAAGCAGCAGGUUAAUACCCCGCUGUUCUGACGGUACCCAAAGAAUAAGCACCGGCUAACUUCGUG
rnacentral:rRNA from 1 species